UGUGUUUUAAUUGCCUUAUGAAGACAUAGCAUAUGCCCUGACACAGUUAAAUGAUUAACAGAUUACUCCAAAUGUCUUUGGCAUAGAAUAUCUAUACGUUCAUUAGGCAGAACAAUUUAUCUUCUUGAUAAAACUAAAAUUACUUAUACAUCAGAUUUACUUUCCAUGAUUAAUAAAUGAUAAAAAUCUAAAUCUGAAAUGUGUCUUCUUGGCCAUUAAUCUCACAUUUAUCAGCUUCUAUAAUACAUAUUAUUAAUAUAAAAAUUCAAUUUUCAAAGCAUUUAAAUUUGCUAAGAGAAACAGAACACAAUGCAAACAAGCAUCUCAAUUAGUAGGAAAUGCUAUAGUCAUUCUGAAAUAGGUAAUAGACAGAGUUAGCUUUAAAUAUGCUUUAUAAAAACAGAUAAAAUCCAUGGGAUACACAGACAUCAAAAUGCCCCCAAAGGGACGCCUCUCUCAAAUAUACUUCCAGUAGGAAGCCAUCAGCAUUAAUAGCAAGUUUGGUAUCAUUCCGCGUAUGCUCAAAAGGACAACAUGAAGAUCUGGCUCAGAAACAGAGCACAGAACACGCAGAUCUGGAAUCACUAAAGGUCAAAAUGCAAGCAUCGCACGUGGCCAAGGAAGUGAGCUUCGGAGGCACAGGUUUAGCUAGAGGGAAAGCCUAGGGAAUUAGAUCCUUCUGUCAGCUUUUUUAAAUGUUUAAGACCGUCUGUCCUCCAAUUAAACUGAUCAAGGGGUCCAGGAUGGUUUGUUAGCAACUCUGCUCUGGAGAACACUCAUUAAAAGUCUCGAAGCUGAUUACGGAGUUCCCAUCUCGAGCACUUCACUUCUGCUGUCAGCUGCUGAUUUCUCUGAAUUCCAACUGCCAAAGUAACUGUGGAGGCCGAGCCAUGCUUUCCCCCCUGCCAGCCUGCUUCUCGCUGAAGUACUUUUUUCCAGUCUUCUUCCAGCCUUGGGGAGGUCUCAUCCAUUGCUGAUGCUGCUUGCACAAACUGGAUUCGCCAGCGGCUGUUACUCUCUCUCCUUGCAAGCUUUUACCAAAGCAGCAGCCAGGGCAGUCCAGGGGCAGCAAAGUACCCUUCAUCCAUGGGGCUCCAAUUUUACCAAUAUUAGUUCACUGAUUUUCGCAAAAAACCUGAAAGGCAGAGGGUAAG
rnacentral:lncRNA from 1 species